rnacentral:rRNA from 1 species
UACGAAGGGUGCAAGCGUUAGUCGGAAUUACUGGGCGUAAAGCGCACGUAGGCGGCUUUCUAAGUCGGGGGUGAAAUCCUGGAGCUCAACUCCAGAACUGCCUUCGAUACUGGAGAGCUUGAGUCCGGGAGAGGUGAGUGGAACUGCGAGUGUAGAGGUGAAAUUCGUAGAUAUUCGCAAGAACACCAGUGGCGAAGGCGGCUCACUGGCCCGGUACUGACGCUGAGGUGCGAAAGCGUGGGAGCAAACAGG